CUUGGGGGAAACGAGGGUGCCCCCGCCCCGCGUGCCUGGCUCUGCCUGGGCCCCCUUGGUCCCAUCCAAGGAGCCCCAAGGAGGGGAUGGGCCUGCUCCACCUUCCUCACCGGCUCCAAACCGGGGCCAUUUCGCGGGUUCAUGCACUUUGCUGCCCAGUCUUCUGGCAUUCUCGCUCAGCUGCCACGUGCAAAAAAGAAAAUCCACCCUUUUAACAGUUCACAAGGAAACUGCUAUUUGGACAACUAAGCAAGUUUUUACUGCAAUAAGCAGCAAGGUGCAGUAAGUCCUCAUGUUAGUAGAUAAAGGACUGUUGUAUAUGUUACCUCAUGUACAGUACUGAAAUUAUUCUGUGUUAUUUCUAGUUUGAUCUGUAGUAUGAAUGUGUGCAACAUUUCUCUGAAUUGUAAAACAGCAGUGUAAGGAAUUUACUUCUAAAAGCAAUGUUAAUUUUAUAUAUAAUAUUUUAUAUUAUAUAUAUAUAUUAUAUUGUAUAUAAUGCAAUAUAUAUUAUAUAAUUUAAUAGAUUAGAUUUAUAUAGAGAGAGAAAGUUCUAUAUAGAGAGAAAGUUCAAAAUAGGGAAAUGAACUUUUUUUUUGUAUUCUUACCCUUUCGAUACUGUGCUGUAAACGCAAUUUCAUCCUUACAACUUCCUGUUGUCUAAAAAGUUCCUUAAGUGGAUCUGACAGCGAUGGCGGUGGUGUAAUCUAGGAAAAAAUUGUUACAAAUUUGAAUUUAACAUAUACAGUUUACCUGGACUGGCUUUAUAAUUGCAAAUAUGCAUUUAAAAAUAAAAGCAUGAACAGAAUAUUUUUCACUGGAAAAGUAUAUCAUAAACAGCCCCAGGAAUGUAACUGAAUUCACAGACUUUUGUUCUAAUCUAUUAAUUACACCACUGUCUACCCUUUUAUUAAAUCAUAGAAUUAAAGAUUCAUUUAAAAAAAGCUAAAAUCUGUCCAUCUGUGGUUUAGUGCAGUUUAAAACAACUAUAAAGACUUCUAAUAGGAAAGUAAAUUAUUUAAGCAUCAUUUGUUAUGUGCAGACAGUGCACCUAGGACUGUAUAAGACACACAAAAGAAGAAAGUCCCUAUCCCAAGAAUCUUGCAAUUAGAACACACAAAUGAGACAAAAUGCACUGGACAGUCCAAAGGAAGUAUUUAUAGAAGUGGUAUUGAUUUUUAAUAAUGGGUAGAGGACCUCAUUUUUUACGUCCCACUCCAAGAUAGCAAAACAUUCAGAUAUAUUUCCAUGUCUGCUGUUUUGUACUAGUAUUAAGUUGAGGGCAGUUGCACAUGUUUAUUAUUAUAUGAGAAGCUUCAGAUUUAAAUGAAGGAAAUAAGUAUUAUAUAGUUAACUAGUCUGUACAACAAAACACUGUAAACGUAAUUGUAGUCAUGAUAGUAACCAGACAGCAAAAUUAGAGUUGUCUGAGAGGUCAUCAGAACCCUGAAAUGCUCAUUAAAACUUUGUCCAAAGUGUUCUUGUUUUAUAUAUACUGCAUUUCUGUAUUUUUAUUCUUUACCUAGCAAGAAUAUUUCAUAACUAUUUGAUAAAUAGAAGAACACUUGAUACUACUUUGGAUGGACUACUCAAAACUAGCUGAAAUAUUGUUUGCCAUAACUGGUGUCUAGAUAGCACAGCAGAAAUACGUUUAUAGAUGAAUCAGUAAUAUUAUCCACUGUAUAUAAAACAAAUUGAUCUAAUAUCACAUGUUGCUAUUGUGGCUACUCUGGAGUACAAGGUAUUAUACCUACCUCACA